rnacentral:rRNA from 1 species
AAUAUUGCACAAUGGGCGCAAGCCUGAUGCAGCCAUGCCGCGUGUAUGAAGAAGGCCUUCGGGUUGUAAAGUACUUUCAGCAGUGAGGAAGGUGGGUAUGUUAAUAGCAUAUUCAUUUGACGUUAGCUGCAGAAGAAGCACCGGCUAACUCCGUGCCAGCAGCCGCGGUAAUACGGAGGGUGCGAGCGUUAAUCGGAAUUACUGGGCGUAAAGCGCAUGCAGGUGGUUUGUUAAGUCAGAUGUGAAAGCCCGGGCUCAACCUCGGAAUUGCAUUUGAAACUGGCAAACUAGAGUACUGUAGAGGGGGUAGAAUUUCAGGUGUAGCGGUGAAAUGCGUAGAGAUCUGAAGGAAUACCGGUGGCGAAGGCGGCCCCCUGGACAGAUACUGACACUCAGAUGCGAAAGCGUGGGGAGCAAACAGGAUUAGAUACCCUGGUAG